ACUCACACACAUAGACACACAUACGGACCCGCACACAGAUCCGGGUGGGGGGGGCGGGGUGGGGGAGCGGCAGCGCGAGACAGCGCGAGCCUCCGAGAAAGCGCGAGACACGCCGGCGCGUGCAGCUCCGCGGCGGCCGCUGCGCCCCGGCUCCAGCCCCGCGAGCGCCCGGCCCGGGUAUUUAUGCGGCGGCCGCGUCCGCCGGCUGCGGCUUCCUCCGGGCCCCCCCCUCCUCCCCCGGGGCGCGCACCACCGCCCCCCUGCACGCGCACACACACACACACACACACACACACACACACACUCGCGGCAGCAGCUGCCGGGACUCGCUCGUGGGUGUGUGUGGUUUGGGGGCUCCUGCCUCGGCGCGGCGGGUGCCACCUCCCGGGACGCUGGCCAGGCGUCCCAGGUCGCGGGCUAUUCUAAUGUGAUGCUGGGAUUGAGUUUACCUUGGACUCCACAUCAAGGUUGACUCGAAAGUCUUGUAGAAGAUCUGGACGAAAUACGUAAGUGGCCUUCUGGUAAUAAUUCUCUUUGGUCCAUUGUGCUUAUGUCUGUUUUUCUAGUGUUUAUUUUAUUCUUUAUUUUUUUUUUAAUUUUAUUCUUUAAUUUUUUGAUUGCGUAUCUAUGUCCAAAUAUUAAAAAUGUUAUCAGUGAACCCCAGACACUUGUCAAGUAUGACUAUAGGAAUAUGUACCACCGUCUCUUCUCUCCUUUUCCAUUUCAAUCUUGCCGUGCUUUCCCUUCUUAUUAAACUUGGUUUUACUUUUUAUUUUGAAAAUUAUUACAAAUUUAUGUAGAAGAUGAAUUUGGUUUUGAAAUAUUGAAAGGAAAUGAUUAGGCAAGAAAAACAUAUGGAUUAUUUUUGGUUAUCAUGUGGUCUUUUUUUAUACUGAUGUUUUCAGUAUUUUUUUUAUUAAGAUUGAGUUGAUAUUGAGGUUUUUGGAGGAUCUAGAAAUGCCAAAAAAUGAAGAGAAUAACAUGCUAGUAAUGAUUUUUUUUGGAAAUGAAUUUUUCUUAUAAACUCUUCGAGAGUCAACAAGUCAGCUAUUUAGAAAGCAUUUUUUGAAAUGUUGUAAUUCUUUAAGUCAAAUGGGACUUUUCCUGGAUAUUUACAGUGUCAAUUUAGAGAACUUUAAGUCCAUUAUUUGAUAUAAAACAAGGGCCACAGAUACGGCAUAAGAUGCUUUUCCAAAAGAAUUAGAUUUAUUUCCCACUUUAUUCAGUAUAUGUUUCUGUAAAAUUAUUUUUUCAGUGUCACUGCUGAACUAUGGUAUCAAUCAAGCAGUAUGUUAUAGGUGGCCAUAUCUGUAAACAAUGUUAUUAUAAAAAGAAAAA
rnacentral:lncRNA from 1 species